rnacentral:lncRNA from 10 species
AGGUGGAAACUUGGAUUAAUUAGCACUGUGACUUGCCAAGUGAGAUAAAAGCAAGAGAGUUAAGGAUGACUGCAUGGGAGUGACUGUAAUGACAGUGGAAUUUAAACUAGAUAAGGAGCAAAAAGGAAACGAAGAAGACGAAAGUGAGUGCAAAGCAAGUAGAAUCACAGGAAUGGUCUUUUCAGUAGGUUUUGAGGAUUUCUGAAGUCCGAGACAUAAAGGGAAUGUGCAGGAAGGAAAGGAGAUGGUCAUAAACGAAGUAAAGGAAAUUGAAAUAAGAGGGCUGUGUUUUUUAGUAAUGGCAAAUUAGGGUAGUUGAGACAGGUGGAAGACAAAAUCUUUUUUUUUUUCCUUUUUUUGGAGACGGAGUCUCAUUUUGUCAUCCAAGCUGGAGUGCAGAGGCGUGAUCUAGGCUCACUGCAACCUCUCGGAUUCAAGGGAUUUUCCUGUCUCAGCCUCUCAGAAGAGAACAUCUUCAUAGGAGAGGAGCUCUAGGAACUGAGAAUGCAGGAAAUUGGAAGAAAUAUACAUUAAUAGCCAAGAAUUUAGACAGGACUGGGGAGCCAGGAACAAACAUUUGAGAUGUUGGGCUUUUAAUGGAGUUGCCACGGAUGACAGCAUCAUGAGAAAUGAGGUUUAAAAAUGGAGGAUUGUUCGAGGAGGGAGGAGGGCUGAUCUGAAAGCCACAAGGAGGACAAAUGGAACACCUACCCCCACUACAGGCUGGAAGAAGUUUCUCUUGAAGAAGGAACAUUUAAGCUGAAACCCUAAGGAGCCACCCAAGAAGACUUAAGUUGAGAAAGGGGAAAGCAAGCAAAAUAUCAGAAGACUGAGAAUGGGGCCAGAAGUAAGGCGAAGAGUGAGGCAGCAGAAGACUAGCAGAACUUUGGUGAUCAAGAAGAAAUGAAAGUCUCCCCCUCCUAGGGACUUGAUCUCCUCCACAGAAGGACCUUUCAUGGUGUGUAAUCCCUCAUGAGCCCCUGUUCUUUCUCAUCUCAAUACAUUGUGUUUGCAGGACUCCUCUCUCACCUCCUGAAUGGGACCCCUCGAGGGCAGUGAAGGUUUCUUAUCUUCUGCUGUAUUCCAAACACCCAGCAUAGGGCUUGACACAUUUGUCUUUUGUUGUUGUUGUUGCUCUCUUGUUAUUGUCAUUUUGUAUAAAUAAACCAAAGGAAAAC